UCCGUAGGUGAACCUGCGGAAGGAUCAUUAAUAAAUGCUUCAUUGCAUCCACCUUUUGUGCACUGUAAAUUUUCACUUAAACUUUGUCUGAUUGAUAUUUGUUCUGAAAGGAACAUAAAUUGUAAUCUAAUACAACUUUUAACAAUGGAUCUCUUGGCUCUCGCAUCGAUGAAGAACGCAGCGAAAUGCGAUAAGUAAUGUGAAUUGCAGAAUUCAGUGAAUCAUCGAAUCUUUGAACGCAUAUUGCGCUCUCCGGCAUUCCGGAGAGCAUGCCUGUUUGAGUAUUGGUACCAUUCCGGUGUAACCUUUGUAGGUGCCACAAGGUACAAUUAGAAUUUCUUUUAAGAAAAAACCGUAUUGAGACGUCUCGACAAUUUUUUGUCGAGUGUUUUAAAAUAUAGUAAUAUGUUGUACGUUCCUCUUUGGAGUAAUAUGUGCCCAAACUUGGUUUGGGGUGACCACUGUUCCUCCUCAAUUGAACGUGCAACUGAAAGUAUUUCAAUGCUGAUCUCGAAGGCGGCAUUGAAUUGUUUGUCCACGACGGAACAUGGAAACUCCAAUCUCAAAUCAGGGUAGGGAUUACCCGGCUGAACUUAAGGCAUAUCAAUAAGGCGGGGAGGGGAAGGGUCGGACUG
rnacentral:rRNA from 1 species